rnacentral:rRNA from 1 species
CUGCGGCAGCGACGCUUAUGCGUUGUUGGGUAGGGGAGCGUUCUGUAAGCCUGCGAAGGUGGCCUGUGAGGGUUGCUGGAGGUAUCAGAAGUGCGAAUGCUGACAUAAGUAACGAUAAAGCGGGUGAAAAGCCCGCUCGCCGGAAGACCAAGGGUUCCUGUCCAACGUUAAUCGGGGCAGGGUGAGUCGACCCCUAAGGCGAGGCCGAAAGGCGUAGUCGAUGGGAAACGGGUUAAUAUUCCCGUACUUGGUGUUACUGCGAAGGGGGGACGGAGAAGGCUAUGUUGGCCGGGCGACGGUUGUCCCGGUUUAAGCGUGUAGGUGUGUGUUCCAGGUAAAUCCGGUUCACUUUAACACUGAGGCGUGACGACGAGGCACUACGGUGCUGAAGCAACAAAUGCCCUGCUUCCAGGAAAAGCCUCUAAGCAUCAGGUAACAUCAAAUCGUACCCCAAACCGACACAGGUGGUCAGGUAGAGAAUACCAAGGCGCUUGAGAGAACUCGGGUGAAGGAACUAGGCAAAAUGGUGCCGUAACUUCGGGAGAAGGCACGCUGACACGUAGGUGAAGUGAUUUACUCAUGGAGCUGAAGUCAGUCGAAGAUACCAGCUGGCUGCAACUGUUUAUUAAAAACACAGCACUGUGCAAACACGAAAGUGGACGUAUACGGUGUGACGCCUGCCCGGUGCCGGAAGGUUAAUUGAUGGGGUCAGCGCAAGCGAAGCUCCUGAUCGAAGCCCCGGUAAACGGCGGCCGUAACUAUAACGGUCCUAAGGUAGCGAAAUUCCUUGUCGGGUAAGUUCCGACCUGCACGAAUGGCGUAAUGAUGGCCAGGCUGUCUCCACCCGAGACUCAGUGAAAUUGAACUCGCUGUGAAGAUGCAGUGUACCCGCGGCAAGACGGAAAGACCCCGUGAACCUUUACUAUAGCUUGACACUGAACAUUGAGCCUUGAUGUGUAGGAUAGGUGGGAGGCUUUGAAGUGUGGACGCCAGUCUGCAUGGAGCCGACCUUGAAAUACCACCCUUUAAUGUUUGAUGUUCUAACGUGGACCCGUUACCCGGGUUGCGGACAGUGUCUGGUGGGUAGUUUGACUGGGGCGGUCUCCUCCUAAAGAGUAACGGAGGAGCACGAAGGUUGGCUAAUCCUGGUCGGACAUCAGGAGGUUAGUGCAAUGGCAUAAGCCAGCUUGACUGCGAGCGUGACGGCGCGAGCAGGUGCGAAAGCAGGUCAUAGUGAUCCGGUGGUUCUGAAUGGAAGGGCCAUCGCUCAACGGAUAAAAGGUACUCCGGGGAUAACAGGCUGAUACCGCCCAAGAGUUCAUAUCGACGGCGGUGUUUGGCACCUCGAUGUCGGCUCAUCACAUCCUGGGGCUGAAGUAGGUCCCAAGGGUAUGGCUGUUCGCCAUUUAAAGUGGUACGCGAGCUGGGUUUAGAACGUCGUGAGACAGU